rnacentral:rRNA from 1 species
GACGAACGCUGGCGGCGUGCUUAACACAUGCAAGUCGAACGAGACGAUUUAGAAGCUUGCUUUUAUUGAGUCGAGUGGCAAACGGGUGAGUAACGCGUAGACAACCUGCCGCAAAGAUGGGGACAACAGUCCGAAAGGACUGCUAAUACCGAAUGUUGUAUCUCCUCCGCAUGGAAGAGAUAUUAAAGAUGGGCCUCUACUUGUAAGCUAUCGCUUUGCGAUGGGUCUGCGUCUGAUUAGCUAGUUGGUGGGGCAAACGGGCCUACCAAGGCGACGAUCAGUAGCCGGUCUGAGAGGAUGAACGGCCACAUUGGAACUGAGACACGGUCCAGGACUCCUACGGGAGGCAGCAGUGGGAAUCUUCCGCAAUGGCGAAAGCCUGACGGAGCAACGCCGCGUGAGUGAAGAAGGUCUUCGGAUCGUAAAGCUCUGUUGUCGGGGACGAAUGUUGAGGCCUAGAACAUAGGUUUCAAAUGACGGUACCUGACGAGGAAG